rnacentral:misc_RNA from 1 species
GAUGAAGAACGCAGCGAAAUGCGAUAAGUAGUGUGAAUUGCAGAAUUCAGUGAAUCAUCGAAUCUUUGAACGCACAUUGCGCCCCUUGGUAUUCCAUGGGGCAUGCCUGUUCGAGCGUCAUUUGUACCUUCAAGCUCUGCUUGGUAUUGGGCCCCGCCAGUUCUGGCGGGCCCUAAAGUCAGUGGCGGUGCCUUCCGGCUCCGAGCGUAGUAAUUCUUCUCGCUCUGGAGACCCGGUUGUGUGCUUGCCAACAACCCCCAAUUUUUUAAGGUUGACCUCGGAUCAGGUAGGGAUACCCGCUGAACUUAAGCAUAUCAAUAAGCGGAGGA